AAAGUAAUGCAACUACAAGAAAUUGUAUCGGUGACAAGUCCGAGAUAAAUGCAGAGUCAUUU
rnacentral:ribozyme from 2 species